CAAUAGCGUAUACUAAUGUUGUUGCAGUUAAAAAGCUCGUAGUUGAACUUCUGGUAGGAGUGUCCCGGCCUUUUUGUUUUUACAAAUUGUAUGCUGUGUGACAUCUCUGGCCAUCCUUCUUCUUUGUUUAAAGAGGAUCUUUCACUGUAAAAAAAUUAGGGUGUUCAAAGCAAAAGUUUCUUUGGAAUAUAUUAGUAUGGGAUGAUAAGAUAGGCUCUAGAUGCUAUUUUGUUGGUUUGCACAUUUAGAGAAUGAUUAACAGGGACAGUUGGGGGUAUUCGUAUUUACAUGUCAGAGGUGAAAUUCUUGGAUUUUGGAAAGACGAACUACUGCGAAAGCAUUUACCAAGGAUGUUUUCAUUAA
rnacentral:rRNA from 1 species